rnacentral:rRNA from 1 species
UUUGAACGCUGGCGGCAGGCCUAACACAUGCAAUUCGAGCGAGCGGCGGACGGGUGAGUAAUGUCUGGGAAACUGCCUGUUGGAGGGGGAUAACUACUGGAAACGGUAGCUAAUACCGCAUACCAUCAGAUGUGCCCAGAUGGGAUUAGCUAGUAGGUGGGGUAACGGCUCACCUAGGCGACGAUCCCCAGCUGGUGUGAGAGGAUGACCAGCCAAAUGGGAACUGGGACACGGUCCCGACUACUACGGGAGGCAGCAGUGGGGAAUAUUGCACAAUGGGUGCAAGCCUGAUGCAGCCAUGCCGGGUGUGUGAAGAAGGCCUUCGGGUUGUAAAGCACUUUCAGUGGGGAGGCGUUACCCGCAGAAGAAGCACCGGCUAACUCCGUGCCAGCAGCCGCGGUAAUUC